rnacentral:lncRNA from 1 species
CCUUUUUCACCGAAGUCCUGAGAGCGCUCAAAAUGUCCACUUCCAGAUACUACAAAAAGAGUGUUUCAAACCUGCACUAUGAAAGGGACUGUUCAACACUGUGACUUCAAUUGAAACAUCCCAAUGAAGUUUCUGAGAAUGCUUCUGUCUAGUUUUCAGGGGAAGAUAUUUCCUUUUUCACCAUAGGGCUGAAAGCGCUCCAAAUGUCCACAUCCAGAUACUACAAAAAGAGUGUUUCAAACCUGCUCUAUGAAAGGGACUGUUCAACACUGUGACUUCAAUUGAAACAUCCCAAUGAAGCUUCUGAGAAUGCUACUGUCUAGAGUUUAUAUGAAGACUAUCCCGUUUCCACCGAAAUCCUCAAAGCUAUCCAAAUAUCCUCUUGCAGAUUUUACAAAAAGAGUGUUUCAAAACUGCUCUAUCAAAAGAAAGGUUCAACACUGUUAGUUGAGGGCGCACAUCACAAAUAAGUUUCUGAGAAUGCUUCUGUCUAGUUUUCAGGGGAAGAUAUUUCCUUUUUCACCAUAGGCCUGAAAGCGCUCCAAAUGUCCACAUCCAGAUACUACAAAAAGAGUGUUUCAAACCUGCUCUAUGAAAGGGAAUGUUCAACUCUGUGACUUGAAUGCAAACAUCACAAAGAAGAUUCUGGGAAUGCUGCUGUCUGCUUUUUAUAUGUAAUCCCGUUUCGAACGAAAUCCUCAAAGCUAGACAAAUAUCCACUUCCAGAUUCCACAAAAAGAGUGUUUCAAAACUGCUCUCUCAAAAGAAAGGUUCAACUCUGUUGGCUGAGUAGAUACAUCAUGAAAAAGUUUCUGACAUUGCUUCUAUCUAGCUUUUAUUGGAAGAUAUUUCCUUUUUCACCGUAGUCCUUAGAACGCUCCAAAUGUCCACUUCCAGAUACUACAAAAAGAGUGUUUCAAACCUGCUCUAUGAAAGGGACUGUUCAACACUGUGACUUCAAUUGAAACAUCCCAAUGAAGCUUCCGAGAAUGCUUCUGUCUAGAGUUUAUAUGAAGACAAUCCCGUUUCCAACGAAAUCCUCAAAGCUAUCCAAAUAUCCUCUUGCAGAUUUUACAAAAAGAGUGUUUCAAAACUGCUCUAUCAAAAGAAAGGUUCAACACUGUUAGUUGAGGGCGCACAUCACAAAUAAGUUUCUGAGAAUGCUUCUGUCUAGUUUUCAGGGGAAGAUAUUUCCUUUUUCACCAUAGGCCUGAAAGCGCUCCAAAUGUCCACAUACAGAUACUACAAAAAGUGUGUUUCAAACCUGCUCUAUGAAAGGGAAGGUUCAACUCUGUGAUUUGAAUGCAAACAUCACAAAGAAGUUUCUGGGAAUGCUGCUGUCUGCUUUUUAUAUGUAAUCCCGUUUCCAACGAAAUCCUCAAAGCUAGACAAAUAUCCACUUGCAGAUUCCACAAAAAGAGUGUUUCAAAACUGCUCUAUCAAAAGAAAGCUUCAACACUGUUAGUUGAGGGCGCACAUCACAAAUAAGUUUCUGAGAAUGCUUUUGUCUAGUUUUCAGGGGAAGAUAUUUCCUUUUUCACCAUAGGCCUGAAAGCGCGCCAAAUGUCCACAUCCAGAUACUACAAAAAGAGUGUUUCAAACCUGCUCUAUGAAAGGGAAUGUUCAACUCUGUGACUUGAAUGCAAACAUCACAAAGAAGUUUCUGGGAAUGCUGCUGUCUGCUUUUUAUAUGUAAUCCCGUUUCCAACGAAAUGCUCAAAUCUAGCUACAUAUGCACUUGCAGAUUCCACAAAAAGAGUGUUUCAAAACUGCUCCUUCAAAACGAUUGUUGAAUUCUGUUAGUUGAGUACACACAUCACAAAUAAGUUUCUGAGAAUGCUUCUGUCUGGUUUCUAUGGGAAGAUAUUUCCUUUUUCAACACAAGCCUGAAUGCGCUCCAAACGGACACAUCCAGAUAUGACAAAGGGCGGUGUUCACACCUGCUUUAUGAAAGGGAAUGUUCAACACUGGGACUUGAAUGCAAUCCUCACAGAGAUUUUUCUGAGAAUGCUUCUGUCUAGGUUUUGUAUGGACAUAUUCCCGUUUCCAACGAAAUCCUCUAAGCUAUCCAAAUAUCCACUUGCAGACUCUACAAAAAGAGUGUUUCAAAACUGCUCUAUCAAAAGAAAGGUUCAACACUGUUAGUUGAGGGCGCACAUCACAAAUAAGUUUCUGAGAAUGCUUCUGUCUAGUUUUCAGGGGAAGAUAUUUCCUUUUUCACCAUAGGCCUGAAAGCGCUCCAAAUGUCCACAUCCAGAUACUACAAAAAGAGUGUUUCAAAGCUGCUCUAUGAAAGGGAAUGUUCAACUCUGUGACUUGAAUGCAAACAUCACAAAGAAGUUUCUGGGAAUGCUGCUGUCUGCUUUUUAUAUGUAAUCCCGUUUCCAACGAAAUCAUCAAAGCUAGACAAAUAUCCACUUGCAGAUUCCACAAAAAGAGUGUUUAAAAACUGCUCUCUCAAAAGAAAGGUUCAACUCUGUUAGCUGAGCAGAUACAUCAUGAAAAAGUUUCUGACAUUGCUUCUAUCUAGCUUUUAUUGGAAGAUAUUUCCUUUUUCACUGUAGUCCUGAGAGCGCUCCAAAUGUCCACUUCCAGAUACUACA